AACGAACGCUGGCGGCAUGCCUAACACAUGCAAGUCGAACGAUGCCUUCGGGCGUAGUGGCGCACGGGUGCGUAACGCGUGGGAAGCUGCCUUUCGGUUCGGAAUAACUCAGGGACACUUGAGCUAAUACCGGAUAACGUCGCAAGACCAAAGAUUUAUCCCCGGAAGAUGAGCCCGCGUAGUAUUAGCUAGUGGGUGGGGUAAAGGCUCACCAAGGCGACGAUCCUUAGCUGGUCUGAGAGGCUGAUCAGCCACUCUGGGACUGAGACACGGCCGAGAAUCCUACGGGAGGCAGCAGUGGGGAAUAUUGGACAACGGGGGAAAGCCUGAUGCAGUUAUGCCGCUUGAGUGAUGAAGUCCUGAGGGUUGUAAAGCUGUUUUACCCGGGAAGAUAAUGACGGUACCGGGAGAAUAAGCCCCGGCUAACUCCGUG
rnacentral:rRNA from 1 species